rnacentral:rRNA from 1 species
GAUGAACGCUAGCUACAGGCUUAACACAUGCAAGUCGAGGGGUAACGAGAGGAAAGCUUGCUUUCCUUGUCGACGACCGGCGCACGGGUGAGUAACGCGUAUCCAACCUGCCCCCAACUAGGGAAUAACCUUGCGAAAGUAAGACUAAUACCCUAUAAUUUCCUCAGAUGUCAUCUGACGAGGAAUAAAGAUUUAUCGGUUGUGGAUGGGGAUGCGUCUGAUUAGCGUGGUGGCGGGGUAACGGCCCACCAAGGCAACGAUCAGUAGGGGUUCUGAGAGGAAGGUCCCCCACAUUGGAACUGAGACACGGUCCAAACUCCUACGGGAGGCAGCAGUGAGGAAUAUUGGCCAAUGGGCGGAAGCCUGAACCAGCCAAGUAGCGUGCAGGAUGACGGCCCUAUGGGUUGUAAACUGCUUUUAUACAGGAAUAAAGUUAGCCACGUGUGGUUAUUUGUAGGUACUGUAUGAAUAAGGACCGGCUAAUUCCGUGCCAGCCGCCGCGGUAA